rnacentral:sRNA from 1 species
UUGAAUUAAAUACACUUUUUUAAUGUUGC